rnacentral:rRNA from 1 species
GUAGGUGCAAUAGGUGGUCUUUUUGUCAUAACACUUGUGGUGUUCUUUCUCCUUCUCCAUAGACAAAAGAGGAAGAUGAAACAACUUUAUCUGAAAAAUGGAGGCCCUGCACUACAAAAGGCAAACAAUAUAAAGAUUUACAGAACGGAGGAGCUCAAGCCAAUUUUGAAGUGUGCCAAUUUUAUAGGAAAAGGCUGCUUUGGUGAAGUUUACAAGAUCUUGAUAACCAACACUAAUGUUGCACAUAACGAGCAAUUUGCAAACCAAGUCAUUAUUCAGUCUCAAGUCAUCCACAACAACAUUGUAAGGCUCGUAGGUUGUUGCCUAGAAGUUGAUAUCCCAAUGCUAGUCUACGAGUUCCUCUCCAAAGGUAGCCUCGAUGAAACUCUUCACAGCAACAAUAUUGCCGCAGAAUCAGCGGAAGGUCUAGCGUACAUGCAUUCGAAAACCGGCAAAAGAAUUCUGCGUGGUCAUGUGAAACCAGCAAAUAUACUCUUGGAUGCUGACUUUGGUAUAUCAAGGAUGAUUGCAAGGGAUAAGGAACACACUACAUCUGUGAUUGGUGAUAGGACUUACAUGGAUCCAACAUAUCUUUUGGAACGAAGGCUCAAGAAAAAGAGUGAUGUCUACAGUUUUGGAGUACUACUCUUCGAACUUGUUAGCAGGAGGAAGGCCACUUAUUCUGACCAUAACAGCUUAGUGAGGAAUUUUGUUGAUGCUCACAAAACAGAGAAGAUACCAAUUGGAAUGUUUGACAAGGAAUUUGCAGAACCAGGAGAUUUGGAGCUUCUUGGUAGCCUUGCAAGGGUUGCCGUGGAAUGCCUUAACCUUGAUGUGGAUGAAAGACCAGCAAUGACAGAUGUUGUAGAGCGCCUUCUCAUGUUGAAGAGAUCACGUAAGUAG